CCUUCUAAUUUCACCUCUUCGACUCCAUAUAUUCUCUUCUCUCUUUGUCUCAAAAUCUCUUUUCCUCUUCAGAUCUCCUCUUCUCAUCGUAUUCAGAUCUCCUCUUCGUCUCCAGAGUUCUUUUCUCUUCUCUUAUUGUCGUCUUCCUCCGCCGCCGCGACACCAAACCCACCCGAUUCAACCGAAACUCAGUCCUCUUUUCUCAUCUUCCACCAUUUCUUGUCACCUUAACUCCAGAUCUGGCUACCUCCACUGCACAAAAAUCCGUUUCUAUAGAAACCCAGAAGCAGCCAUGGUAUACAGAGACAUCUUCAAUUGCUUUAACGAAAGAAGUGUCUAAGAAGGUGUCGUUUUGGUGUCUUUGCAGGUGAGGAUGUGAAGAGGACUUUGUUUAUUUCCAUGGUGUUUCUUCUACUCUCAUCUGAUUUGACGGCCAAGCUAAGUAAUAAAGGUUUUUGCAUUGAGAGAUGGUUGAUAGUGAAGUUUCAUGUUCAAGGCUUGUCUCUAUUUGUCUGAUGCUUGGCAGUGAAUUGCUCUACUUAAUGUUCAUGCACUGCUGUUUUGUUUGAUACAGGACUAGCCCAUCUGACUUUAUUGUUCCAUUUGAUCAGACGUAACAGAAGAAAUUAUUUUCAGUAAAACCCUCCUGCAGAGAUUGUGGAAUGGCCAGAAUCUGGUGACAAGCCCAUGUAGAGGUAAUUAUAUAUAUCUUAUUACCUUUCCAUUAGUGGAUGUUUGCAUGUUUCGUUGGAUGUUACCCCAUCUAUUAUCAUUCUUAUUUGCACCAUUGUAUGGAUAAGUUGUGAUAGCUGUUUAAGAAGGGUGAAUGCUUUGUUUUGAUUAUCAGAAUGGUGAAUGCUUUGUUUAUCUGAUUCUCUACUUGUCUUAUAGAAAACCUUAAUGUUGAUUCUACUCAUCCAUAAGUCUCAGAUAUUUGAGUUUGAGCUAAAAUGUCUUUAUUCUAUCUGUCAAUGUUUUGGAUUCGUGAAUAUCUUUCUUUACUUUACCACAAAAGCACCUUAGUAUUGUGGAUACACAUGAUUACAGGGAAUAUGGAUGGGAAUGCUAACCGGAACAGUUCUUCAGACAUGUGUACUGCUUUUGAUGGGAAGGCGAAAUAGAUAGAGGAGAAGAGACGGAAGAUAUCGCAAGUUUGUCUCAAUCCUUAUAAGUUUUAAUGUUAGCUUUUUUGGAUAAAACUUGGCAGCAUAGUACAAUUACUUGUAUGAUAUGUAAGACUUGUUUAAAUUAAUGUUAUGUAUGUUGAUGAUAUU